ensembl:lincRNA mucin 20, cell surface associated
GCCGUAACAGCUCCUGUCCUUGUCCCCUUGAGGGAUUUGCUUAGGACACCUGAGAUGGAUUUCCCAGCCUCAUUCUCCCUCUCCUGGACUAACACCGUGGGGUCCCUGGGUCACCUGCCUCGCUGCCCUCCUGGGCCCCGGGACUCAGAUGAGCACUUACCCUUCCACCCCAGUGCCCUCUACUGACUAGGACACGGUCCUGGCUUGGCCUUGGAGGCAGAAGACGAGGGAUGCAGUGACACCCCAUUGGCAAGCUGUCCCCCUAUGACCGCAGGGCCUGCCCCCUCUCUUCUCCUGGCUGCUUGAGGAUCGAGUGGGUGCUGGGGCUCCCACGCAUGUCUUGAGCACCUGAGAUGUGCACACAUCUGAUGCGCUCCGAUCAGGAGGUGCUCUGGAAGAGCUUUGCUGUCUCCCACGUUCCUUCCAGCAGCCUCCUAGGUAGACAUCGUGUCCACGGUGCAGGUUGGGGAGCUGACUUUCACAGCGCCCCUCUGCUUCUCCCGAGAUCCCAGGAGUCGAUAAAAACUGGGAUCAGGAACGAAGCCUGGCUCUGUCCUUGGAGCCUGAGCCCCAGCGUGCCUGGUCCCUGCAGGGCAGAAGGGGGUGGAUGUUGCCAUGGAAACGACUGGGGGAAUCACAGCACAAGGGCGCAGGAAGGUGAGCCGGGUGGCAGCCCUGCCUGCCGGCCCUCACUUGUGUGUGAGCUGGAAACCACCCAGGCACACCUAGGCAGGUGCUGCCCCUCCCCCAGGUGGAGGAAGCAGGAAAAGGUGGCAGCCAGAGGCAGCGGGCGAGGCUGCUGGGCAGUGGUGACCAGGGCCUCGGCGAGGAUGGGCUUGAUCUGCACCCUGGCUCUGCCUCUUCUUCUCCUCUGCUGGGAGGCUGGAGACUCCCGGGGAUUUACAGGUUCCAGCCGCAGCGGACCAUGCCCGAUCACAACGACAAACACCGUCAACGUGCUAACCGCCGUGCCAGGGAUCAGCACGAGCUCGCAGGGAGCCUUCCCCACCCCUGGUCUUGCUAAGACCACAGAGCCAGGCCACUUUUCUGUGGCAGCCGCCACCCUGGGCACUGAGACCUUUUCCAAGACCUUAACACCAGCUGCCACUGCUUCUGAAACAGGGACCAAGGAGACUCUGACCAUUUCUCCGGCUUCAGAGACCCAGGGCGCCCAGAUCGCUUUCCCUGUCACAGGGACCAUGAACACCAAGACCGCCUUCUCUACCACAGAGUCCAGGGACACCCAGACCAUGUCUCCAGCGUCAGAGAAGACCAUUCCCCUUGCCACAGGGUUCAGGGACGCUCAGACUACUGUCCAUGCCGCAGAGACGAGGGAUACCCAGACCAUUUCCCCUACAUCAGACACCAAGACACUCAGAAAGAUAAUCCCUUCUGACCUCAUGGCUGCAAUCACCAUCCCUGUGAGGGCUUUGUCCACAAGUGGCAGCUUCACAAGGACUGGACAGGCUACAGAUGAGAUUCCUCCAGGCAACGAUCCCAUGAAAGCCACCUCUGACAGUCUUUGUACCGACGACAGCUCUGAGGAGACAAAAUGCAUCACAAACAAUGCCUUGCCAUUGGUGCGCACUUCGGUGGAAGCUGAGAGCCCGUCCUCAGACAGCAGCUCUUCCUCAGUCAGCUCUGCAGCCGUCAUCACCGCCUCCCAAGACCUGGGUCCUGAUGUUGCCACCUCCAGCAAAGCCUCGGUCCCCCGCAGCACCCCCCACAUCAAGUUCCUCGGAGAGACAGAAACCGCAGCCGCCAUCUCUGGGACUUCAGACGCAGGUCGCAGCCCCACAGGAGUGAGCGCCUUGUCCAUCUCUGAGACGUCAGCUUUGUCUGCCUCUACUGAGGCAAAGUCACCCAUCCUGAGCCACACAUUUCCCGCUGAGACCCUGUCCACCGUUAGCACCUCAGAGUCAGCUGCCCCCAACACCACCCCCGAUGCCCCACGCCCGAGCAGCAGCACAGGAACAAAAGCAGUAUCCUCCCCCACCUCUGGCCCGAGGAGAGCUCAGGUGACAGUUAGCAUGGGCCGCUUGGGAGAAACCUCAGCCCUCUCUCAACAGAGCUAUACUGUGGUCUCAGGAGCAGUUAUAGUCUCUGCCAAGGCUGCAUCAACAGUGUGCGAAGGGACUUCCUCUGCUGGAUCCUCAGCUUCAGUCUCUGUCUCUUCAGAAAGAGCCAUCAUCAAGAAUUCCACCCCUUCAGGGCCUUUUACUGCAGACAGCACAAGCGUCAGGGACUCCCCCACCGGAAGAGGCCGUGUUCCUUCUGUCCACCCGGCUACAGCCAGCAGCAGCCAAGAGCCAGUUGUCACUUCAGCCAUGACCACAACCGCACCAAAGCCCGCUUCAGAGGUUUUUACCACAGAUGGCACAACCAGUAGGGCCUUCUCCACCAGCGGGACAUCUCUUUCUUCUGUCCCUUCAACUACAGCCAAUAGCAGCCAAGAGACAAACAUCACCUCAGCCACGGUCUCACCAAAGACCCUAAGAGCUACAUCCUCUGCUACUUCAACAAGCCAGACUCCGGAAGUUAUUGCAGGUGCAGAUGGAGACUUCCUCCUCCUGAGGCUGAAGGUGGCCUCGCUGGAAGACCUCACAGAGCCUACAAGGGCGGAGAGGCUGGUGCAGCAGGGUCUCUCUGCUGAAGUUCCUGACCCCAUCCCAUCUUCCCUGAGGAAGUGA